UGUGUUCUUCCGAUCGGGAGCGACGACGUGAAGUCGCCGAAAAAGAAGAAAAAAAAGAGAAAAAAGAAAUAUUCGUCGCGUAAUAAAUUCACAGGAAACGUAGAAUGCCCUUUUUGCUUUACGACGCACGUACCGUGGACUGGUUCGUGAGUAUGGGAAAAAUGUCACCAACUUUAUCAAGAGUCACGCAUUCCCAGAACGCUUAUCAUCGUCAGCCGACCUAAUUAUAAUUGCCGUUCUGUGUUCGUCGAGGCUAUAAUGAUAAUACGUUUCCGUAAUUCACGUUAUACAUCGUCGAUGAAUACCUAGAAGACGCGAACACGUAG